rnacentral:misc_RNA from 1 species
AACAGGAAAUGCACAAUGCUAAAAACUGCGUAGGAGAUUUUAAUACAAUAGUACUACCAAGCCUGAUGUUGGCCGCUAUUUCAAUGAAUGCAGCAGUGUGACAGCUAGCAAUCAAAAGUAACAAGAUAUCGAGGAAAUGCAGAUGGCAAUAAACUGUGUAGGAGUUCAUGAUUGCAAUAGAAUAAAAUCGACCAAGCCUGAAGUCAGCAGCCCCUUCAAUGAAUGCAGCAGUGUGACAGCCAGCAAUCAAAAGUUACAAGAUAUCGAGGAAAUGCAGAUGGCAAUAAACUGUGUAGGAGUUUAUGAUUGCAAUAGAAUAAAAUCGACCAAGCCUGAAGUCAGCAGCCCCUUCAAUGAAUGCAGCAGUGUGACAGCCAACAAUCAAAAGUUACAAGAUAUCGAGGAAAUGCAGAUGGCAAUAAACUGUGUAGGAGUUUAUGAUUGCAAUAGAAUAAAAUCGACCAAGCCUGAAGUCAGCAGCCCCUUCAAUGAAUGCAGCAGUGUGACAGCCAACAAUCAAAAGUUACAAGAUAUCGAGGAAAUGCAGAAGGCAAAAAACUGCGUAGGAGAUCAUUAAUACAAUAGUAUUAUAUAAACCAAGCCUGAUGUUGGCCGCUCAUUCAAAGAAUGCAGCAGUGUGACAGCCAGCAAUCAAAAGUAACAAGAUGUCGAGGAAAUGCAGAAGGCAAAAAACUGCGUAGGAGAUUAUUAAUACAAUAGUAUUAUAUCAACCAAGCCUGAUGUCGGUAGCUUCUUCAAUGAAUGCAGCAGUGUGACAGCCAGCAAUCAAUAGUGAUAGUGACAAGAAUCUAGGAAAUACAGAAGGCAAAGAAGCAGAUGUCAUCAAAGAAGAUCUUUGUUCCUGCAAUGUUUCCGCAGACGAUACAUCCAACAGAGCGAAGUGGAAGGAAAAGACUCGGAAAAAAGAGCCCACCACCAUAUGGGAACAAUG